rnacentral:lncRNA from 1 species
UCUUUCAACCACCGACACCCUGCUUGUCACGCCUGUCUCCUGACUGUUCACUAAGGUCCUGCAUACCUUCACAUCCAUGGCUGGCUACUAGUUUCCAACAAUAUAGCCUUAUUCCCUAAUCCAAAUCUUCUUUGUUUUCAAUUCAGAUCCCUCACUUUCCUUGUAUGUAAAGCUCGGCUUUAUGAAACCCUCUCAUGGAGUCUCUCAUCAUGGGUUCUUCAUUUAAAAUGAGCAAUGAUGCAUUAUAUGCUUCUAGUUGCCUUAUAUCUUUGGUGCUGUUUGAUACUGUAUUCUCUACCUGAUCCACUGGGGAAAUGACAACGAAACUCACUUACUUGUGUGGGGUGCUGACAUGUAAACACAUAGCAUCCCAGAACCCUUUUAUCAAGCAAUGUAACACAGAGAAAUUCAAACAGGCCAAUAUCCCAGUCUCAUUUGCAGACGACACAAGCAUAAACGCCAUUUAAGUGGGAUGGAUGAAGGAAAAGACAGAACAAAGGAAACAUGGUGAUGUGGGGGAAGCAGAAUUGUACAAGUAUUCUAACAUCUGUGGCUUUCCUUUUUAAUUAAAACAAAUUAUGUGUAUUGUGUCUUGCAUAUGUUGCUAAUAUGUAUAUCUGUUACCAUGUGCAUGCCAGAGGAUGUCAGAAGAGGUGUCAGAUGCCUUGGGAUUAGAAUUACAAAUGAUGUGAGCUGCCUUGCGGGUGCUGGGAAUUGAACCAAGGUCCUCUGGAAAAGGAAACAGGGAUCCUGACCACUGAGCCAUCUCUCCCGCCCCAUCUGUGACUUUUAGUAACAAAGACAAUGAAGCUGGAGCCUGGAGUGAUGGCUCAACAAUAGAAACAGCUGUUCCCCUUACAGAGCACCCAGGUCCCAGCUCCCAUAUGGGGGCUCACAAAUACCUACAAUGAACUUCUGGGAGUCUGGGGAUCUCUCCUGGUCUCCCUGAGCACCAAGAGUGUGUGGUGCACAGCUGUGCAGGCACUCACACAUCCACAUAAUACAUUAUUUUUGAAACUCGCUGAGUGGGAAAAGCAACUGUAUUCCUUUAUACUCCUCAACCACAUAUCAAUCUGCCAUCCAGCUGGUAAACAUUCAGGAACACUAACAGAUUGCUCGCACACGCUUUAGUUAGGCAAGACAUUCUACCAGUGCUCACUUCAGGUCACCGUAGACCCUUAUGAUCCACAGCACCAGGUAGACCGUGGGUGUUCUGCAUUCAUUGUCUCUUACGUAGGAUAGGGUGGCCACACACCUUAAAUAUUCAUGGUUUUUCAUGUCAGGUGCCACUGGAAUGACCAGCACUUUAUUAUUUUAACUACAAUUCCUCUUCCUCUGCUUACUUAUUUG